UCUAUUUUCUAGAGAACCCAAGCUAAAAGAUGCGCCAUCAGGAGUGUCCCGCAGACAGUCGGGAUGGGAUAUUGGAGUUGAGUCCCUCACUGAUUUUGUGGUGAUAAAGACCCAGGGCAUGUGAGGCAUGAGAUGCUGCAGGACCAGGCAGUACCUACACUUGCACAACCCAGAAAUGUGGGAGAUUUAAUGUCUGAGAAGAAAAAGUUUGACAAGGGGAUAUAGCAGGAAGCAGCUGGCCAUUUGAGGAACCCCACAUGGUAAGGAACUACAAGCAGCCUCUAGAAGCUGAGGGCAACCUCCAGCCGACAGCCAGCAAGAAAUUAGAGCCCUCGGUCAUACAUCCAAAAGGACAUGAAUUCUGCUGACAACCACAUGAGUCUGGAAGCAGAUCCUUUCCCAGGUGAGCCUCCAUAUGAGAAAGCAGUCUUGUUCAACACCUUGAUUGCAGCCUUGCAAAGGAUAAGCUAAGUUGUUCCUGACCCAUGGAAACAGGGAGAUAAUAAAUGUGUGUUGCUUUAGGCUGUUAAGUUUGUGGCAAUAUUAUUAAGCAACAAUAGGUAAGUAAUACAGAUUAUAAAAUGGUACAACCACUUUGGGAGAUGGUUCGACAAUUUCUUAAAACAUUAAACAUACACCAACCAUGUGACCCAGAUAUUCCAUACUCAAGAGAAACAUUAGUCGGGAGUUCCCUGGUGGUCAAGUGGUUAGGACUUGGUGCUUUCACUGCCGGGGCCUGGGUUCAAUCCCUGAUCAGGGAACUAAGCCGCAUGGUGUGGCCAAAAAAAAAAAAUCCUGAGAAACAUAAGUCCACAAAAAAGACCCAUACAUAAAUAUUCAUAACAACUUCAUUCAUAACAGCCAAAAAUCAGAAAAAAACAAAUUUCCAUCCGUACAAGAGUAGAUAAAGAAAUUGUGGUAUAUUGAUAUAACAUAAUGAAUUCUACUCAGCAAUAAAAUGGAAUAAACUUUUGAUAGACACAAAACAUGAAUGAAUCUCAAAAACAUUAUGCUAAGCUAAAGAAACCAGACACAAAAGAGUACAAACUGUAUGAUUCCAUUUAUGUGAAGUCCUAGAACAGGCAAACCUAAUCUAUGGUGAAAGAAAUUGAACCAGUAGCUGCCUCUGGGGAUUCAAGGGCAGGCAUUGACUUGAAAAGGACACGAGAUAACCUUCUGCAGUGAUGAACAUGCUCCCUAGCUUGAUGGAUUACGCAGGUGUAUGCAUUUGUCAAAACAUUUUGAACUGUACGCAUAAGAGCUGUGCUUACCACUAUAUGUAAAUUAUACUUUAAUUUGAAAAAAAAAGAACAAAGGACAAUGGAAAUACUUGUUUGGUAAAUGUUAGUGCAUAUGUCUCAAGCCAAAUUACCCCAAGAUGCUUGUAAAGAUAAAGAGAAAAGCAUAGACCAUUUGUCAUGUGGAGUCUGUAAGAACAUAGGGUUCCAGAGGAAAAGGCACCUCUGAUUGGUUCUGCCCUCUCAGUUGAUCUUUGUGCCUGGAGCUUCAUGGACUCAAUCCACCCAAAGAAGAUUACUCUACCCAAUGAAUGCUGUGAACUCUAUAGGCCAUAUUUAAUCAAUAAGUAGUCACAAUAUGACCUAUACACAAACAAGGCUACUGAAAUAACUUUAUCAUCCUUAUCAUGCGGUUACUUCAAACAAGAUCUGACUUUCGGCUUCCCUGGUGGUGCAGUGGUUGCGCGUCCGCCUGCCGAUGCAGGGGAACCGGGUUCGCGCCCCGGUCUGGGAGGAUCCCACGUGCCGCGGAGAGGCUGGGCCCGUGAGCCAUGGCCCCUGGGCCUGCGCGUCCGGAGCCUGUGCUCCGCAACGGGAGAGGCCGCAGCAGGGGGAGGCCCGCAUACCACAAAAAAAAAAAAAAAAAAAAAAAAAGAUCUGACUUUCACCCAUUAGCAGAGAUAAUACUUAAUUCAAAAUAAUAUUUGUUGUGGCACUCUGCCCAGCAAUGUAUGGAGAUUAAAUUAUCAAAAGACCUAGGAGGGAAAAACUGUCAAGGACGUCAAAAACAAGAAAAGUCUGAAAAUCUGACAUCAUCUAAGGAGCCUAAGGAGAAAUAACAACUAAAUGUAAUUUCAUAUCCUGGAUGGGAUCUUGGAACAGAAGGACAUUUGGUUAAAAACCAAGGAAGUCUAGAGACUUCCCUAGCGGUCCAGUGGUUAAGACCUUGUCCUUCCAAUGAAGGGGGUGCAGGUUCGAUCCCGGGUCAGGGAGCAAGAUCCCACAUGCUGUGCAGCAUGGUGAAAAGAUUUAAAAAAAAAACCCAAGGAAGCCUAAAUAAAAUAUGGACUUUAUUAAUAAUAAUAAUCAGAAAAUAUUGGUUCAUUAAUUGCAGAAAAUGUCCUAUACUAAUGUAAGAUGUUAAUAAUAGGAGAAAUUGUGUG